AUCAGGGUGGAGCAUUAAAGCCACUAUAAAGGUAGUUCCAAUCUGAGACUCUCACUUGUGCUGGAUACACUUGAAGGCUCUGUAUUUUCAGUGAGUUCUUCUUCAAGACAACACCUAAGGAACAUGGAACAUUUACUCAAUGACAACCUUCUGAAAUACUUCACUCAAUAUGCUUUAAUGGAGGGUAGCACUACUGCACUGUCCAUUGGUGGGCUGAAAAAUCUGCUCCAGAAUCAAUUUUCACAGUACUUGAAGGAUUCAUUCUCUCUUGACAACGUAAUUAAGUUAUUGGACAAAAACAAUGAUGGAAGCAUCAGCUUUGAUGAGUUUGUGAUGCUUAUAAAAAAGAUUACAGGACAAUAAGGCAUCUGCCAGAAUGAGCAUCGUUCCUUUGAAGGAGAAGAGCAUGGCAUUCAUGGACAGUAUAUGUGCACCUAAAUCCACAGAUUUCCUUGUUGUAAUUUCAAAAAAUAUGCAAUAAAGAUUUAUAUGACAUAACA